rnacentral:rRNA from 1 species
UACGUAGGGUGCGAGCGUUAAUCGGAAUUACUGGGCGUAAAGCGUGCGCAGGCGGUUUUGUAAGCCAGAUGUGAAAUCCCCGGGCUUAACCUGGGAAUGGCAUUUGGGACUGCAAGGCUCGAGUGCGGCAGAGGAGACUGGAAUUCCUGGUGUAGCAGUGAAAUGCGUAGACAUCAGGAGGAACACCGAUGGCGAAGGCAGGUCUCUGGGCUGACACUGACGCUCAUGCACGAAAGCGUGGGGAGCAAACAGG